UUGUCAGUAGAACACAAAGUGCUGGAGUAACUCAACUAGUCAGGCAGCAUCUCUGGAGAUCUUGGACAGGCGACAAUUUGGAUCGGGACCGUUUGGGGUCCUAUGUUUUAAUUUGUAUGGUCCAUCUACGCCCCCAGCGAUGCCGCUUGGCCCGCUGAGUUAAUCUAGCUGUGUCCUACGCUACAUUCCAGCAUCUGCUGUUCCUUGUGUCUCCCUGUGUUUUCGGACUGCUCCCGCAAAAUGCUUCUUUUCCCAAAGCUAACUGAGUACAGUUACGAGCAAAGAUCAUAGAGUAUGACUUCGGUUACGAGAGUGAUUCUGCCCUCCCUCCUGCUCUCUGCUCACACGUUUCGUGGUGGAGAUCCCACCAUGGGACGCAGAAUUGUUUUCUAGAAGAGGCCAGUGAGCAGUGAUUGCAGGCAGCAGCAGGCAGCUGAUGGUUCGCCUCCCGAGCUUCGACAAGCAGAAGGCCAAGAUAAAACCCAGGCUAAAGAAUGGAGAUGGGACUUUCUGCACUGGCUGACCAAACCGAUCCUUCCACGCUCCUGGAGAAAAUGGGCAGACGGCGUUUCGAGUCGGGAUGAAGAAAGGUCCCGAGCCGAAACAUCGCCGGAGAAUUUCCUCCCCGAUGCUUCCUAACCCGCUGAGUUCCUCCACCACUUUCUGUUUUGCUCAAGGUUCUAACACCUGCCGUCCCUUGUGUCACAUCCUGUUCUUGGUAUCAUGUGAGACACAGAUUCUGUGGGACGAAAGGCCUGUUUUUGUGCCGUGUUCUAUUUCUUCCUUGCAAUGGUCAAUGGUACUUUAUCAAUAGUACCUGAUUUGUUCCAUGUACUGAGGUACAAUUAAAUCAUUUUUGCAUACAGUUCAGUACAAGUAUCACUACACAUAAGCACUUAGAUACAUCUUAGAUGAGCAUCUCAGAUCCACGGUGGCGCGGUAGAGUUGCUGCCUUGCAGCGCUGGCGACCCGGGUUUGAUCCCGACCACGGGUGUUGUCUGUACGGAGUUUGUACGUUCUCCCCAUGACCUUCUCCGAGAUCUUCGAUUUCCUCCCACACUCCAAAGAAGUAUAGGUAGAAGCACCAGGGGGCGCCGCACGAUGGCUGCCAUGCCAGCGGUCUGUCCUCUUCUUUUUCAUACUUUGUGUUUUUAGUUUGUUUUAAAAUUAACUCUACCUUCACCUGAAUCAAAGUAAAGCCUGCAGACUUUAACAUCUUGGAGCGGGCGACCCCUUUGCCUGGAGGCGGCCUUUGGUGCUUCAACCUGCGGAAGCUGCGGGCUUUAACAUCGUGGAGCACACAGUCUCUGGUCAGAGACCGAUUUCGGGAACUCUAAGCCGCAGCAGUUUCUACCGCCCGGAUGUGGGAGGUUAGAUCACCCCGACGAGGGAGCUCGAUCGCCGGCUGCGGAUGGUUCGACUCCCCCAACCGUGGGAGGAAAGAAGAUAAGAAUUCAUUGCCUUCCAUCACAGUGGGGAAAUGAAGGAGCCGCUGUGGUGGAUGUUUAUGUCAAUUUUUUUUCUGUGAUGUUGCCUGGUCUGCUGUGUCUUGCCAGCAUUUUCUGGUCUUAUUUCAAGUUCAAAAUGCAAUGCUGCUCAGUGAAAUCUGUGCCAGGAACACAAACAGCUAGAGCACUACAAGAACAGCUGGAAGCCACAGAGUGGUGCUCACAUCAUUUAUACCAUCAGGAUGAAAUAGUGCAUUGAUUACGGUUGGUGAUAAACAAACUGGUGGUUCCAAAUUAAGAAAGCUCCACUGUAAAUUGUGAAACACAAUUAAAUGAAUGUGAGAAUUUAAAAAUUUGUGCCAGAAAUCUGUAUUUACUGCCAAUGAAUGGUUGGUUAAUAUCAAACUAUGUUAUCAACAUCCUCUCCGAAGGAUAACUGCCAUGGCUCUACACGAUAAAAGCACUAUUGGGAAGAUGGAAUAAACACAUACUGUGAUGCGUACAUAACAAAAUCAAAAAUAUAUAUAUUUAAAAUCAGAGAUAUGGUCAUCACUGAAAUCUCCAAGAUAUUCAUUUAUAAAUAUCAAUCAUUAUCAAUAUCAGAAAUGUGCUUUCCAAAAGACCAUGAGGCAUAUGAACAGGAUUAGGCCAUUAAGCCCAACUCACCAUUCAAUCAUGGCUGAUCUAUUUCCCGUCCUGACCACCAUUCUUCUGCCUUCUCUCUGUAACCUUUGAUGCCCUUCCAAAGCAAGAACCUAUCAAUCUCUGCCUUAAAAACU